UAGAGGACUUCUCUAUCCGAUGAUUGAGAUUCUUCACCACCACUCGCUCUCUCAUCCUCCCCUGCAAAUUCCAUCCACUCCCUAAUAAACUGGAUUGAUAGAUACAGAUGGAUUAUGGAUUGUGAUCUUGUGGAAAUUAAGAUUUGUGGGUCUUAAUCGCCUUCCUCUUAAUUUGUUGCUGUUGCUGUUUCUGUUCUCCUUUCACUCUAUAAUUAACAAGAACCAGCAGACUUCUUUAACUUGUUGAAGUUAGUAAUAAAAUGGCUUCUUCAUUCUCUUUUAUUUCUUGUCCUUCAACUGGAUUCCUCAUCAGCCUGGUUCUUAUCUUCAUUUUCGAAGGUGCCUCGGGUGCUACAUUCACACUUGUUAACAAAUGUGAUUACAGUGUGUGGCCUGGAAUUCUUGGCAGUCCUGAACUGGACACUACAGGCUUUGAGCUUCCCAAGGGCAGCUCUCGCUCUUUUCAGGCGCCGACAGGUUGGUCCGGUCGUUUCUGGGCCAGAACUGGCUGCAAAUUUGACGCUUCAGGCCACGGUUCCUGCGCCACUGCCGACUGUGGCUCCUCCCAACUCGAAUGCAACGGCAAUAGUGCUACUCCGCCUGCCACCUUAGCUGAAUUCACCCUCGGAACAGGUACACAAGAUUUCUACGACGUUAGUCUCGUCGACGGCUAUAACUUGCCAAUGGUAGUUGAUGUGAAUGGAGGCUCAGGCGCUUGCAUGUCGACGGGAUGCGUGACGGACCUCAAUAAGAAGUGCCCAAAUGAGCUCAAAGUUGAAGGCGGAGCAGCUUGUCGGAGCGCCUGCGACGCGUUCGGGAAACCAGAGUACUGUUGCAGUGGGGCGUAUAAUACACCGACAACUUGUAAACCUUCGACGUACUCAGAAAUGUUCAAGAGCGCGUGUCCGAAAUCAUACAGCUACGCGUUCGAUGACGCGUCCAGUACUUUUACGUGUACUGGUGCUGAUUACACCAUCACAUUUUGCCCUGAUUUGCCCAGUCUAAAAUCCGCAACAGAUUCGUCGCCGAAGCCAACAGGGACGGCAGAAGAACAAGGAGGAGGAGGGGCGGAGUCAGGGGCAGUACAGGAGGCAGAGUUGGCAAAUUCAUGGCUAGCAAGCUUGGCCACAGGAGAUUCAAGAAGAAGCCAAUCCAUUUCACAUAUGCAAUUUGCAUUUGUUUUGUUCACAUUUUUCAUUUUUUGCUACAAUAUAAAAUUGUAGCUAGUCUUGCUCUUGCUCUCCCUCGUCGUGUGUGGUAACUUUUUGGAUGAGCGACCCAAACUUUGAUGGAAAAAGAAAGGGAGAGAAAGAAGGAAUCAAUAACAUAGGGGGACCAAUCAAUCCAAAUAUCUUGCAGUGACCUUCAAUGAUAAACGCAAAAGGAAAGGAAGAAUAAUUCAAGAAAGUAGAGGAAACAAACGAGUCUUUGAGAGGUGACCUGCAGAGGUUAUUUUCAUUUGUAUAAUUAAAAAGAAAAAGGAAAGAAAGAAAGAGAAUAAAGUGUAAACUGCUGAGACUCAGAUUAAUGAGUUGAUGUGGAAGGCCACUAUGUGGGAAUCACGAAGCUUUGUAGUAAUGGACUAAAUUUUGUAGUAAAUGACUAAUUAGAUUUAAUUCAGAGUUUUAACGA